ensembl:lncRNA LINC02993 long intergenic non-protein coding RNA 2993
CUCGGGCCUGCGUCGCAUCCAACUUACUCCAAGUUUUCUGGUGACUCCUACAGGGCCCCUUUCCGUCCCCCCCCCCGCUCCCCGCCCCCCAAGCCUUAGUGAGAUUGACAGUCGCGUGGAGGAGGCUUUUCCAGGCACAGCCUUUCUCAUGGUAAUCAGCCCCCGGCAUCACCUCCCGGCCGCGGCUGCGCCCGCUCGGAGCGCGGCUCGCGGACCCCGGGGACCGGAAACAGGGCGGCGGGCGGGGAGCAGGCGAGCGAGCCAGGCUCAACUCCGAAUGGAUUGGAUUGCGAGUCUGCACGUGAGAAAACCGUUUGGCUUGGCUUGGACCCCUGCCGCCCCCCACCUCCUCCACACACACCCAGUCCAGGGGUCCCCUUUAUCACCCUUUGCUUGCAACUCCAAAAGAAGUUGCCCACCUCCUGAGUCACAACACAAGGUCGAAUAAUUCCUCUAGAUGAAAGAUCAGUUUCAUUUCAAAACGAGAAUAGGUUCCUUUUUUUAUUUUCUCCACAUGGUACAAAAUAAACAGAAUUUGCUUUAAAAAAAAUCA